rnacentral:snoRNA from 1 species
UAUUCUGUGAUGAUUUCAAAUAGACAUUGCUUGAAAUGCUGAACAAAUUGAAUUAAAUUUGUAUUUCCUUGUCUUCAUUUAAUUGAGGUUU